rnacentral:rRNA from 1 species
CCUACGGGAGGCAGCAGUGGGGAAUAUUGGACAAUGGGCGAAAGCCUGAUCCAGCCAUGCCGCGUGAGUGAUGACGGCCUUAGGGUUGUAAAGCUCUUUCGUCAGGGACGAUAAUGACGGCACCUGAAGAAGAAGCCCCGGCUAACUUCGUGCCAGCAGCCGCGGUAAU